ensembl:lncRNA
CCCCCCCCCCACAUUUUUAUGCAUAUUGAACACAUGAAAUUGCAAGCAAUUAGCGAUGUUCAUCUAAUGGGAAAGCUUCAGAAAAUGGAGCAUUUAUUGCUUUCAAGGGGGUUUACUUCCAUUUCAGUAUUUGGCUUUUACAUACUCAUAGUAGAAAAUUGACAAUCCGACUGUUUUCCCUCAAAAACACUUAAGUUUCUCUGGAUUGAUUCUCUGAACUGUUUAUUGUGGCGAGUCCCACCCAUGGAUCCAUUAUCCACUACAUUUGGAAUCCUGUUCAACCAAUGAUGCAAUAUUCUAUAUGGACAAUGCUUGUGUUUGCCCUGUAUGUCUUCAUCCAUUUAGAACCUGAUGAAGACUUGGUGGUGUCGAAAUGGUUUGUUCUCUUAAAGCCUGCAAAUGAAUCACUGUGCUCCAGGAGUCAGCCAAGCGUUUUAAGAAAAAGAAAAGCAAACAGUACAAUUAUUACCCAACCUGCUUCCUGUGAAAAUCCAUCGGAGAUUGCAGACGGACUUCAACUUCGACACAACAUACUUCUCCAUGAAAAUCCUUUAACAACACUUCUAUGCACACACAAUAUAAUAAUAUCCAUGUUGGAUGUGGUAAAGAGAUGUUGGUGUAAAGAUCACGUGACAGAAACCAAAGAAAUACUGGUGAAUAAAUAAUUAAAGGUCAAUAAAUACUUUCUGGCAUGACAGGAUGCAAUGUUUAGUGCAAGUAACAAAGCCUGGAUAUAAAACAAAUGUACUUUCCAUGCCUAAAAUCCCAACAGUGGUCGGAUGUUAGAAGACAUUUAUUAUAGCUAAUUUACCACUUUACCAGUUUUUUGUGGAGGCUUCCCAUAAAAUCCGAUGCAAAAAUGCAUCUUGGAUUUUUGUUGUUCUCUCUCACAGUUGGAUGUCGGUGUGGACAUACACGGACAUUUGGGCCUCCUGUUUACAGCCACGCAGGCCAUCGGCGAGACAGGAAAGAGGGAAUGGGGUCUCUGAGGCGGUUCUAAAGAAGGCAAGUGCACGGAAACACACACAGUCGCACACACACACACACACACACACACACACACACACACACACACACACACUCACUCGCAGACCCAGGGAGGAGGAACGUGAGAAAAGAACCAGAGGGAGAUUAACACACUAAUCCAAUAUCCGAUGCUCCUGGACAGAGGAGCGGCUGCUGAAUGAUUCUCCCUCUAUCUCGCUCUCUCUCUCUAACACACACACACACACACACACACACACACACACACACACACACACACACACACACACACACACACACACCUAUACACAUGCAUGCAAGAUACUGUAGAGGAGGGGGUGGUCUGAAGGAUCCGUCUCGUAAGCAUUUCAGUUAAACAAACCACAUCCUUAGCAAACACACACAAAGCCAUAGGAACAGUCGUCCAGGCCACAGAGCCUCACAGGCCAGACCGCUUCUCACACUGCUGCCACAGAAUGCACACGGCCUGCUGCGAAUAUACAUUCAGCUGCAUUUGUACAUCUGCGCAUGGACGUGUGUGUGUGUGUGUGUGAUUAUGUGGUUCCUGUAGAUCCUAGCGAUUGCCAUUCUUGGAAACUAUUAACUAAAAUACUUUUCACAACGGCUGGCAGGAAGUGAAUGCAGAGAGUUUGUAAUUCACUCCGGCUUUCUGUGUUUUCAGGGGUUCUGCCCACUGGGGCUUUUUAGGAGGAAAGUAUAUAAGUUCUGUUUCAGGGAUCUAUACGCCUCGUGCUGGACGGUCAUCCCGUACGAGUGGCUUCGGCUGAGGGAUCAGUGACCUUCGAGAAGAGACGGGAACGCAUGACGGGAACUUCACAGGAAGAGAAAAAGGUCAGCCAACAGGGAACAAGUGAGGGCCAUCAGAGCUAAAGGGAAACAUUGAACCGUGGUGAGACAUGCCAACAUACCCCACCCUCAAGUCCUAAACACGCACGCACACACACAUCUGAGAAAACAUGACUCGACUUCUUUCCUCUUCAACUAUAGGGUGACUUGUUUCUGGUGGGUUGCCGUGGUGAUUUUCCUUGUUGCUCAUGAUAUUGACUAAACAUAUGUGUGUUAACAGGAAGGACAAAGGGCACAGCGAUGUUAAAGAUGAAGAUGUGACCGUGGGAAAUUUACCAGAAGAACGCCUCCUCUCGUCUCGUCUCUACAGCCGGGGGGCGAAUUGGCAGAUUCUGUGAAGUAGCAGAUGUGUGUAACAUCAUUAUUUCAAUCACUGGCAUGACCACUGUUGGAUUUGUAAUACAAAGCCGCCGCAACUUCUAUCGAAUCAUCUCCGGCCUUCACAACUAAAGUCUACAAGUCCCCCAGGGUGUGUGAAAAGUGAGGCCCUACUGGUGUUGUGCCUGCGUUUACGCAUCAGUGGUUCAUUUAGGCACGACGAGGCAGCGUGUGUGUGCAUGUGCCACUAAUGCUGCCGUGAUGUCCGGGUUGGUUUCUUCUGGGUCUCGCCUCAGUGACAGUUACGGCCGUUGGGUCUCUGGAAGUCACCUCACGUUCUUUAAAGGUGAGCGCACAGAGAUUCCUGGUCGUGCGGGCGGCCAAUGUGACUGGAGAAUGCACGCAGAGAAAACUGUAAUUGUUGGUGGUGCCAACUUAGUUCGACAGGCAUUUUAACCCACGAUACCUCAGUACAGCCAAGAAAUGUGUCACAAUGUCUGAUGCCCUCCCACAUGAGAUACCAAGAUAGCACAUUAGAUAUGACCAUGGGUUUGACUCCUUCUUGCUCUGCUAUCUCACUACGCUGACCUUGGAAAGAGGAUUGUGCAGCAGGGGUGCAAACCGCCUUUCCGUAUCUGCUAUAUUGGACAUCACGAUUGUUUUCUAGUUUAAUUCUUUGUCGUGCACGCUGUACGACCGUUGAACCUUCUCUGCCAAGAAUAAAGCUUCAAAAGAUCUGUUCUGUGAUAAGGACGUGUGUCUUAUCUGAGCAUUGUAGCCACUCACACUGGCCGGAUCGGCGAUAUAUUUCUCACCGCAGUGGGUGCACUCACGGAGCGCACUGCAAACACACGGGCCGAGGGACAAACAAACAAACACACACACAAAACACAAUGGCUCGGACUUCCUGUGAUGUCACACAUGUUAUGUAAGUCUCGCUCUCCGCUUGUCUCUCGCUCUUCCCAUCUGGAUUUCUGGAUUUGGGGAAGAUUAACAAGCAAUUUGCAAAAGGCAUUUGCGGUUUGGGAAAAACGAAAGCCGGCACCUUUAUCUUUUUUGGGACAUGAAUGAUUAGUUGGACUAACCAACAUCAAAUCUAAAAGACUGCAUGUUUCUAUUCUUCCCCACACCAAUAAGAAAUAGGCUUUCAGAAUGAAUGGUGUUUCUUGAAUAGCAUCCUAAAUAAAACUGGCACCGUUUUAUACACAUUUACUUUUCUCUAUUUGCAUAAUCAGAUACUCACCAUAAAAUAAUAGUUUAAUACCAACUAAAGUGGAUUUCUGCUUAAUUGAAGUCCCUGAGAAGUUGUUUUGGGAGCCUGUGUGAAGAGACCCACGAGGCAGAGGUAGCCCCAUUAGAUCAUCUGUAUCCCGCCAUGAGUGGAUUAUAAAGGCGGCGUAAUUUGCACCCCCGUGAGAGUGCAACAGCUUUGGAAAAGAGCAAACAAAAACAUUGUUUUGUAAUACUUCUGUGCGUGUGCGCGCAUGCAUACGCACUUUCUUCCUCACCCAUGUGCGUCUGUCCUCCGACUGUGAGAGACUCCAGCCAGGAGAUAAAUGUACGAGAUGUUAUUGUGGCGCGGCUGGCCCUGCUCCAGAGGAAGUGCUCGGCUUUGACAAUGCUCUCACCAGGAAUGCACUGCAGGCCGCCGCCAAGGGGGGCGUGUCGCCGCUCCGGGGUCGGAAGCCAAGUUUGGUCGGUUCAGUUUUGGCCUCGGGGGGGGGAUCCGUCCUGCUAGGCUUUGGAAAGAGACAGAACGAGAAGGAAAGGAGAGAGAAGGAGGGGAGAGAAGGUCUAGGUUUGUGUAUUUGAAUGAGUGUGUGUGUGUUUUCCCUUUGAGGGGAGAAUCUGAAUGGAAUGCAACUGUUCCUUUACACAUGUCCGACC